rnacentral:rRNA from 1 species
CUAACCUGGUUGAUCCCUGCCAGUAGUCAUAUGCUUGUCUCAAAGACUAAGCCAUGCAUGUCUAAGUAUAAAUAGUAUACAGUGAAACUGCGAAUGGCUCAUUAAAACAGUUAUAGUUUAUUUGAUAAUGAUAAUUACAUGGAUAACCGUGGUAAUUCUAGAGCUAAUACAUGCUGUCAAACCCGACUUCUGGAAGGGUUGUAUUUAUUAGAUAUCAAGCCAAUAUUCCUCGUGUCUAUUGUGGUGAAUCAUAGUAACUGAUCGAACCCCUUCUUGGGGUAAAUCAUUCAAGUUUCUGCCCUAUCAGCUUUCGAUGGUAGUGUAUUGGACUACCAUGGCAGUCACGGGUAACGGAGAAUUAGGGUUCGGUUCCGGAGAGGGAGCCUGAGAAACGGCUACCACUUCUAAGGAAGGCAGCAGGCGCGUAAAUUACCCAAUCCUGAUUCAGGGAGGUAGUGACAAGAAAUAACAACCUGGAAGACUUUGUCUUUACAGGAUUGUAGUGAGAACAAUCUAAAAACUUUAUGCCGAUGAAAUGCUCAUCCAGAGGCCAAGUCUGGUGCCAGGCGAGCCGCGGUACAAAAGGCCAGCUCAAAUAGUCGAAUCAAAAUGCAAUCAACAGUCUCGCACGCCUGCACAGGUAAAAAGCUCGUAGUUGAAAUUCUGUACAUGCCCGGGUCUCCAGCUACUAUGUCGAACCGAGGAGUGUGCACUGCCGCUUACAAACGUUAGCCCGGUAAUCAUUGGUCGACUAACGGAGGAGGCCCUGUGACUCAGAAUAUCCCAGAGAUUCAGAGCUGGUUGCAAGCAGGCAAUGGCUUCGAGAUACAUUAGCAUGGAAUAAUGGAAUAGCACAUCAAUGAAGUCAAGAUGGGGGGUUAUUGGAAUUUAGUAAGGAGUAACUAGGUAGCAGUUGGGGGCCAUUUAGUAUCAGCCAGUCAAGAGGUAAAAUUCCAAAAUUUGGGUCGUUGAGUGUGUUAAGACUAACUUAUGCGAAAGCAUUUGGCUUGGAUGUUUUCAUUAAUCAAGAUAGGAGAGUUAGGGGAUCACAGACGAUCAGAUACCGUCCUAGUCUUAAACUAUAAACUCUGGCGUCUCGGAAUCGGGCGAUGGCCAUCUUAACUAUGGGCAUUUGGGGGGGUAUGAGAGAUCAAAGUUUUUGGGUUGUGGAGGGAAGUAGGUGGCAACACCAAGGUUGAAGACUUAAAGGAAUUGACGGAAGCGUUUUCCCUCACCGAGGAGUGGAGCACUUUGCGGGCUUCAUUUGCCGUCAACACUGGGGAAACUUACCAGUUCCAGAAGAUGUUUGGGAUUGACAGAUUGAUGAGCUCUUUCUUGAUUCUAUGGGUGGUGGUGCGUUGGCCGCUUCUUACGUUGUUGGAUUGAUUUGUCUGUUUCAUUCCGUUAACUUACGAGGCCCCGACCCCUUAACUUGUUCAUUAUUGUACACUGUAUGUCUAAUAGGGUGUUACUUCUUAGAGGGACUAUACGUAUCAAACGGUAUGGAAUUUUGAGGCUUUAGCCGGUCUCGUGAUCCCCGCCGCCCUUAUAUGUCCCUGGGCACUGCACGCUCCCAUUACAAUAGAGCAUAGUGUUCACAAUGUUUUUCCUGCCCUGAAAAGGUUUGGGAAAUCCUUAUAGUAUUUGUCAGUGUUACGGGGUCGAUGAUUCCUGUUAGUCAUUUAUGGGCGUCAUUGACCUAAGGAAUGCCUAGUCAAAGCGCUAUCUCAUCAGAGCUGGACUGAUUCCCGUCCCUCGCCCCUGCAAAAUGGUACGGACCGCUCGUUCGGUCCUACUGAUCGUCGAGCACCUGUUCGAGUGCAUCUUCUGGACUUGACUCCGCAAAACCCGAGCAUAAAUCAUAUACCUGAUCAUUAGCGACAUUAGAAGUCGAACUGCGAAAAAACG